GACGAACGCUGGCGGCGUGCUUAACACAUGCAAGUCGAACGGAAAGGCCCUGCUUUUGUGGGGUGCUCGAGUGGCGAACGGGUGAGUAACACGUGAGUAACCUGCCCUUGACUUUGGGAUAACUUCAGGAAACUGGGGCUAAUACCGGAUAGGAGCUCCUGCUGCAUGGUGGGGGUUGGAAAGUUUCGGCGGUUGGGGAUGGACUCCCGGCUUAUCAGCUUGUUGGUGGGGUAGUGGCUUACCAAGGCUUUGACGGGUAGCCGGCCUGAGAGGGUGACCGGGCACAGUGGGACUGAGAUACGGCCCAGACUCCUACGGGAGGCAGCAGUGGGGAAGAAUGCACAAUGGGCGGAAGCAUGAUGCAGCAACGCCGCGUGCGGGAUGACGGCCUUCGGGUUGUAAACCGCUUUCGCCUGUGACGAAGCGUGAGUGACGGUAAUGGGUAAAGAAGCACCGGCUAACUACGUG
rnacentral:rRNA from 1 species